rnacentral:rRNA from 1 species
UAGGGAAUCUUCGGCAAUGGGGGGAACCCUGACCGAGCAACGCCGCGUGAGUGAAGAAGGUUUUCGGAUCGUAAAGCUCUGUUGUUAAGGAAGAACGAGUGUGAGAAUGGAAAGUUCAUACUGUGACGGUACUUAACCAGAAAGGGACGGCUAACUACGUGCCAGCAGCCGCGGUAAUACGUAGGUCCCGAGCGUUGUCCGGAUUUAUUGGGCGUAAAGCGAGCGCAGGCGGUUAGAUAAGUCUGAAGUUAAAGGCAGUGGCUCAACCAUUGUAGGCUUUGGAAACUGUUUAACUUGAGUGCAGAAGGGGAGAGUGGAAUUCCAUGUGUAGCGGUGAAAUGCGUAGAUAUAUGGAGGAACACCGGUGGCGAAAGCGGCUCUCUGGUCUGUAACUGACGCUGAGGCUCGAGAGCGUGGGGAGCGAACAGG